rnacentral:rRNA from 1 species
UACGGAGGGUGCGAGCGUUGUCCGGAAUCACUGGGCGUAAAGCGCGUGUAGGCGCUUCGCAAGUCGGAUGUGAAAGCCCUGGGCUCAACCCAGGAAGUGCAUUCGAAACUGCAGAGCUGGAGUCCUGGAGAGGAAGGCGGAAUUCUCGGUGUAGAGGUGAAAUUCGUAGAUAUCGAGAGGAACACCGGUGGCGAAGGCGGCCUUCUGGACAGUGACUGACGCUGGAGACGCGAAAGCGUGGGGAGCAAACAGG